rnacentral:rRNA from 1 species
GAACGCUGGCGGCAUGCCUUACACAUGCAAGUCGAGCGGCAGCACGGGGCAACCUGGUGGCGAGUGGCGAACGGGUGAGUAAUGCAUCGGAACGUGCCAUUGAGUGGGGGAUAACGUAGCGAAAGUUGCGCUAAUACCGCAUAUUCUGUGAGCAGGAAAGCAGGGGACCGCAAGGCCUUGCGCUCUUUGAGCGGCCGAUGUCAGAUUAGCUAGUUGGUGAGGUAACGGCUUACCAAGGCGACGAUCUGUAGCGGGUCUGAGAGGAUGAUCCGCCACACUGGAACUGAGACACGGUCCAGACUCCUACGGGAGGCAGCAGUGGGGAAUUUUGGACAAUGGGCGCAAGCCUGAUCCAGCCAUGCCGCGUGAGUGAAGAAGGCCUUCGGGUUGUAAAGCUCUUUCGGUGAAGACGAAACGGUUAGCGUUAAUAACGCUGACUAAUGACGGUACUCACAGAAGAAGCACCGGCUAACUACGUG